rnacentral:rRNA from 1 species
GAUGAACGCUGGCGGCGUGUCUAAGGCAUGCAAGUCGAACGGACUGUUAUUUGUAGCAAUACUUAGAACAGUUAGUGGCAAACGGGUGCGUAACACAUUGGUAACCUGCCUCAAAGUCGGGCAUAAUCCCGCGAAAGUGGGACUAAUUCCACGAUAGUCAUCGAAGGUGAGAUUCCUUCGAUGUAAAGUCGCAAGACGCUUUGAGAGGGGCCUAUGGCCUAUCAGCUUGUUGGUGAGGUAACGGCUCACCAAGGCUAUGACGGGUAGGGGGUGUGAGAGCACGACCCCCCUCACUGGGACGUGAGACACUGCCCACGACACCUACCGGGUGGCUGCAGUCGAGAAUAUUCCCCAACUGGCCGAAAGGCUGAGGGAGCGACGCCGCGUGCAGGAA